rnacentral:tRNA from 1 species
GGCCUAGUAGCUCACUGAGUUGGUGGAGCAUGCGCGUACAAAGCGUAGGCGGCGUCCAUGCGUGGGUUCGAAUCCCACCGUGGCUA